GAUGAAGAACGCAGUGAAAUGCGAUAAGUAAUGUGAAUUGCAGAAUCCAGUGAAUCAUCGAAUCUUUGAACGCACAUUGCGCCCGCCAGCAUUCUGGCGGGCAUGCCUGUUCGAGCGUCAUUUCAACCCUCGACCUCCCUUUGGGGAAGUCGGCGUUGGGGACCGGCAGCACACCGCCGGCCCUGAAAUGGAGUGGCGGCCCGUCCGCGGCGACCUCUGCGUAGUAAUCCAACUCGCACCGGAACCCCGACGCGGCCACGCCGUAAAACACCCAACUUCUGAACGUUGACCUCGAAUCAGGUAGGACUACCCGCUGAACUUAAGCAUAUCAAUAAGGGAGGA
rnacentral:misc_RNA from 1 species